UGAGCAAUCUGCCCUUCUCUUCGGAAUAAGCGUUGGAAACGACGUCUAAUGCCGAAUACGACUUCGGAAGGCAUCUUCUGAAGUGGAAAGCUCCGGCGGAGAAGGAUGGGCUCGCGGCCUAUCAGCUAGUUGGUGGGGUAAUGGCCCACCAAGGCGACGACGGGUAGCCGGCCUGAGAGGGUGACCGGCCACACUGGGACUGAGACACGGCCCAGACUCCGUACGGGAGCAGNAGGU
rnacentral:rRNA from 1 species